GACGAACGCUGGCGGCGUGCUUAACACAUGCAAGUCGAGCGGUAAGGCCCUUUCGGGGGUACACGAGCGGCGAACGGGUGAGUAACACGUGGGUGACCUGCCCUCGGUUCCGGGACAACACCGGGAAACCGGUGCUAAUACCGGAUGGACUACGCGGCUUUCGGGCUGCGGAGAAAAGGUAGCUUUGGCCUCCGACCGAGGAUGGGCCCGCGGCCGAUUAGCUUGUUGGUGGGGUAAUGGCUCACCAAGGCGACGAUCGGAGCUGGUGUGAGAGCAUGACCAGCCACACUGGGACUGAGACACGGCCCAGACUCCUACGGGAGGCAGCAGUGGGGAAUCUUGCGCAAUGGGCGAAAGCCUGACGCAGCGACGCCGCGUGCGGGAAGAAGGCC
rnacentral:rRNA from 1 species